AGAAGAAGUUACUGAAGUCACUGAAGAGGAAGUUACUGAAGUCACUGAAGAGGAGGUUACUGAAGUGACAGAAG